GACGAACGCUGGCGGCGUGCUUAACACAUGCAAGUCGAACGGAAAGGCCCUGCUUUUGUGGGGUGCUCGAGUGGCGAACGGGUGAGUAACACGUGAGUAACCUGCCCUUGACUUUGGGAUAACUUCAGGAAACUGGAGCUAAUACCGGAUAGGAGCUCCUGCUGCAUGGUGGGGGUUGGAAAGUUUCGGCGGUUGGGGAUGGACUCGCGGCUUAUCAGCUUGUUGGUGGGGUAGUGGCUUACCAAGGCUUUGACGGGUAGCCGGCCUGAGAGGGUGACCGGCCACAUUGGGACUGAGAUACGGCCCAGACUUCUACGGGAGGCAGCAGUGGGGAAUAUUGCACAAUGGGCGGAAGCCUGAUGCAGCAACGCCGCGUGCGGGAUGACGGCCUUCGGGUUGUAAACCGCUUUCGCCUGUGACGAAGCGUGAGUGACGGUAAUGGGUAAAGAAGCACCGGCUAACUACGUG
rnacentral:rRNA from 1 species